AAGUCGUAACAAGGUUUCCGUAGGUGAACCUGCGGAAGGAUCAUUACACUCAGUAGAUUUCUACUGCUCGGGGGGAGCGGAAAGUGCUUUUGCACGAGUACGCUCUCUUUCUGAAACCCUUGUCUUUUUGCGUACUUCUGUUUCCUCGGCGGGUUCGCCCGCCGGCUGGACAACUCAAUAACCUUUUUAAUUUUCAAUCAGCGUCUGAAUAAUCAUAAUAAUUACAACUUUCAACAACGGAUCUCUUGGUUCUG
rnacentral:misc_RNA from 1 species